rnacentral:rRNA from 1 species
GAUAAACGCUGGCGGCGUGCCUAACACAUGCAAGUCGAACGAUCCCGCAAGGGAGAGUGGCGGAAGGGUGAGUAACACGUGGGAAUCUACCUCCUCGCAGGGAACAACCUCUCGAAAGAGAGGCUAAUACCCAAAAGGGUCAGAAAUGAUCAGAGUCGAAAGGCGUGAGGAGAGGAGCCCGCGGCCCAUCAGCUAGUUGGUGAGGUAAUGGCUUACCAAGGCUACGACGGGUAGGGGAUCUGAGAGGAUGUCCCCCACACUGGAACUGAAACACGGUCCAGACGCCUACGGGUGGCAGCAGUGAGGAAUAUUGGACAAUGGGCGAAAGCCCGAUCCAGCAACGCCGCGUGGAGGAUGAAGGCCUUCGGGUCGUAAACUUCUUAGUAGGGAGACGAGAAAGGACGGU